rnacentral:rRNA from 1 species
GAAAGUAAGCAAGGGCAGACGGUGGAUGCCUUGGCUCUCGGAGGCGAUGAAGGACGUGAUAAGCUGCGAUAAGCUUGGGGUAGGUGCAAAUAACCUUUGAUCCCAAGAUUUCCGAAUGGGGCAACCCGGCUGGUAGAAGGCCAGUCAUUCCGUAAGGAAGGCGAACGUGGGGAACUGAAACAUCUAAGUACCCAUAGGAGAAGAAAACAAAAGUGAUUCCGCAAGUAGUGGCGAGCGAACGCGGAGUAGCCCAAACCGAUGAUGUUUAGGCAUUGUCGGGGUAGUAGGACCACGUUGUGGCAAGAGAUUAAGGAAGUAGAACGUUUUGGAACAAACGGCCGUAGACGGUGAAAGCCCAGUAUAUGACUCUUUAACGAAGCCUAGUGGUAUCCUGAGUAGCGCGGAGCACGAGAAAUUCUGUGUGAAUCAGCGGGGCCCAUCCCGUAAGGCUAAAUACUCCCGAGAGACCGAUAGCGAACCAGUACUGUGAAGGAAAGGUGAAAAGCACCUCGAACAGAGGAGUGAAAUAGUCCCUGAAACCGUCUGCCUACAAGCGGUCGGAGCACAUUAAAGUGUGACGGCGUGCCUUUUGCAUAAUGAACCUACGAGUUACUUUCUCCGGCAAGGUUAAGGGCUUCAGGCCCGGAGCCGAAGCGAAAGCGAGUCUUAAUAGGGCGUGAUAGUCGGAGUGAGUAGACGCGAAACCAAGUGAUCUACCCUUGGUCAGGUUGAAGGUUGGGUAACACCAACUGGAGGUCCGAAUGGGUAUACGUUGAAAAGUGUUCCAAUGAACUGAGGGUAGGGGUGAAAGGCUAAUCAAACUUGGAGAUAGCUCGUACUCCCCGAAAUGCAUUUAGGUGCAGCCUUUAUUUAGUAUAGCAUGAGGUAGAGCGACUGAUUGGAUGCGAGGGCUUCACCGCCUAUCAAGUCCAGAUAAACUCCGAAUGCGUGCUAUAUAUUGAUAAGGAGUGAGGGCGCGGGUGCUAAGGUCCGCGUCCGAGAGGAGAAGAAUCCAGACCAUCAGCUAAGGUCCCCAAAUAACAGUUAAGUUGAACUAACGAAGUCGGACUGCAGAGACAGCUAGGAUGUUGGCUUGGAAGCAGCCAUUCAUUUAAAGAGUGCGUAACAGCUCACUAGUCGAGGAGUCCGGCGUGGAUAAUACUCGGGCAUAAACUGUUUACCGAAGCUAUGGAUGUAGAAAUACAUGGUAGGGGAGCAUUCCAACGGCGUCGAAGGUGAAGGAUGACCUUUGCUGGAGCUUUUGGAAACGCAAAUGUAGGUAUAAGUAACGAUAAAGGAGGUGAGAAACCUCCUCGCCGAAAGACUAAGGUUUCCUGAUCAACGUUAAUCGGAUCAGGGUAAGUCGGGACCUAAGGUUAAGCCGAACGGCGAUACCGAUGGAAGAAUGGUUUAAUAUUCCCAUACUACUUUAUGGAGCGAUGUGGAGACGGAGAAGUGAAAGUCCUGCCAUCUGACGGAAUAGGUGGUUGAAGAGUGUAGAUGUAGAUUCCUGUAGGCAAAUCCGCAGGGAGAGUCGACCUUGAUAGUAUGCCGCGUGCUUGCACAAGGCAAAAUGGACGUAAUCAGGCUCCCAAGAAAAUCCGCUAAGCAUAUUCAUAAAGUACCCGUACCGUAAACGGACACACGUAGUUGGGUUGAAAAUACUGAGGCGCUCGAGUGAUUCACGGUUAAGGAACUAGGCAAAUUGACCCUGUAACUUCGGGAUAAAGGGUCCCUACUGAGAGGUAGGGCGCAGAGAAUAGGUCCAGGCAACUGUUUAACAAAAACACAUGGCUGUGCGAAAUAGAAAUAUGAAGUAUACAGCCUGACACCUGCCCGGUGCUGGAAGGUUAAGAGGAGAGGUCAUCCUAAAGAGAAGCAUUGAAUUGAAGCCCCAGUAAACGGCGGCCGUAACUAUAACGGUCCUAAGGUAGCGAAAUUCCUUGUCGGGUAAGUUCCGACCUGCACGAAUGGUGUAAUGAUCUGGACACUGUCUCAACCGUGAGCUCAGUGAAAUUGUAGUAUCGGUGAAGAUGCCGAUUACCCGCGAUGGGACGAAAAGACCCCGUGAACCUUUACUAUAGCUUAACAUUGAAUUUGGGUAAUUGAUGUGUAGG